rnacentral:siRNA from 1 species
UUGGGGCAUGGUAAACUA